rnacentral:lncRNA from 1 species
AUGUGUGUUAAUUGCUUAAUUUGGCGACUUUCGGACGCUUAGUGAUGGAAUGGAACAAGAUAGAUGAUUAUCAAGAGAUAUCACGCUAUUCGGGACUUGGUCCGGGCGAAAAGUUAGCUUCAAAGAACAAGAUAUGGAAGAGGUUGAAGUCUAAGGGUCGGUUGGUAAUUAAUUAGAAGCCGAAUCAUACCUUGAGGGUACAAGAGAUGUAAGAGAUCUAAGUCAGGGUCCAAAAUGUAACUUAAAGUGUAAACAAGUGUGAACACAAGAAUGCAUGAAAAAGACAGAAAUCACUUGUGUUUAGUGUUUGAAGACAUGGGUUACGGUUUACAAAGAAUUUCAAGGUAGUUGAGCCGUAACUUACGGUUUGUUAACCGUAAGCUACGGCGGUUUACAUGGGGGGGCGCGCAGGACUUUUUUUUUUGAGGGAUUAUAAGGGUUUAAAACCCUAAGUUGAAGAAGACUUCCUUUAUUCCGAAAAUUAGAAGAAAAAUACAGAAUUUUCAGCUCUCAAAUCACCACAAGAUCAUCAUCAUUCCUCACCAAAUCACCGGAUCAUCAUGCAAUCAACUCUCUAUCAAGCUCUUGAAGAUUGUUCGUGCGUCAUGAGCGGCUAUCUCCCGUGAUCAUCUCCGGGACUAGGGUUGUGUUUGAAACAUUGGGUUUACGUAUAUUUACGACUUUUUGGAUUAAGAUUUAAUUAAUCAUUCGGUUAGUCUUUCUUAUUGUUACUUGUUUCGAUUAAACAGUUGUUUGAUUGUCGUAAACAUUCGUGUUCAUCAAUUAUUUGGUUUUU